rnacentral:rRNA from 1 species
UACAGAGGGGGCAAGCGUUAUUCGGAAUUAUUGGGCGUAAAGGGCGCGUAGGCGGCCUGGCAAGUGGAAGGUGAAAUCCCUCGGCUUAACCGAGGAACUGCCUCCCAAACUGCUUGGCUCGAGACCGGGAGAGGUGAGUGGAAUUCCCAGUGUAGCGGUGAAAUGCGCAGAUAUCAGGAGGAACACCAAUGGCGAAGGCAGCUCGCUGGAACGGUACUGACGCUGAGGCGCGAAAGCGUGGGGAGCGAACAGG